GAUUGUGUUUGAGGGACACACCCAGAAAGGAACAUUAUUCGUUCUAUCAGAAGCACACGCUUUGAUUUCUAAUGUCAACAAGGUCUGACAGGAAGGUCUUUGGGGAAACACACUGGAGCUCCAAUGCACUAUUCCGGAGAGAGAAAGGACAUGAUUGAUGCCAGCGAAUCCCUAAAUGGUGAAUGGAAGCAACAAUAUGGAAGAUACUGGGAGUAAAGACCAAUGCUAAUGAAAUGAUUUGGAAGAUUCCACUAAUACAAAUGAAACAAAUACAGUUCUUAUGCUGUACAGGCAAGGCAAGGGAGUUUUAAGAACUGGCCUAGGAAAAGUGCAUCUUUCAAAGUGUCGACUGGUAAAACUGAUGAGAUCCAUUCAUAGUUCGAGUAACCUUUGUUGUUGCAGCAGCCAGUGCUCAGAAAUUAACGUGUAAGGUGCUUCAACAGUUUCUAUUUGAAAUGCUUAUUUAUACAAGUCU